UUUCGCAAUGCCCGAAAGGGUGACGAAGCGACGCCGCGUGGGUGAGGAAGGCCUUCGGGUUGUAAAGCCCUGUCAGGAGUUAUGAAAUGUAAGUGCGCUAAUAUCGUGCUUAUUUGACAAAGGCUCCAAAGGAAGCCACGGUUAACUCUGUGCCAGCAGCCGCGGUAAUACAGAGGUGGCGAGCGUUGUUCGGAAUUAUUGGGCGUAAAGAGCACGUAGGUGGGUUUGCAAGUCAGAUGUGAAAGCCUUCUGUUCAACGGAAGAAUUGCAUCUGAAACUGCUAAUCUUGAGUAUAGGAGGGGAGAAUGGAACUUCUGGUGGAGCGGUGAAAUGCGUAGAUAUCAGAAGGAACGCCGGCGGCGAAAGCGAUUCUCUGGCCUAUUACUGACACUCAGUGUGCGAAAGCUGGGGGAGCAAACGGGAUUAGAUACCCCGGUAGUCCUAGCCGUAAACGAUGGGCACUAAGUAGAGGGGUUUUA
rnacentral:rRNA from 1 species